rnacentral:lncRNA from 1 species
AAUACAUGUAUUUAUUGGCCAGAAUUAUAUGGACAACACAUACAAUUACUGCCCUUGUGACUAAUUCUAAAGAAUUAAUAUAUGGUCAUAUGUUAUUCAAAAUAACUAGCUUAGUUUCUUUCUUGAAAGAUCCAACGGAUACUGGCUUUCUAUAUAUCAAGGAGAUAACAUUUUGCACAUUUCUACGAUAACGUGGAUAUGUUAAUAGCAAGAAGAUGCAAAUUAUAUCCAGGCUCUACACCAUCACGAUAUCAAAAACUAGUCAAGACAUUGAGAAUGUAGAAAAGCAAAUUAUUAAAAAAAAAUGCAUAGCUCACGCAUCAACACGCAACAAAACCAACCACAGACCUUGGCAACACAGACAUGGAGUCUUGAAACCACCUUACAAAGUUGAUCUCAUCCAAUGCUACAGUCUCCUCAGUGGACCGACUCCUCUCCCUCCUCCCUUCGCUUUCACAUUUCUCUCAUGCUUUUCCUGAAACUCCAGCCAUGCAACCGGAUCGCCCUGGGUUAGCCACACAGAAAAAUGGCUGUCGCAGUAGACUUUUAUCAGAGAAUAGACAAGCUCUUCUGCAGGCACCCGUUUGACUCUACAAACAACACGUCCAUCAGUUUGGGACCGUCCAACCCGACAUGGAGACGUGCAUGAUGUAGGUGUCCACCGUGUAGCGACGGCCCAGUCCUUGGUGUUGGGCGGAUGAGGAUGUCCUUACAUACAGUAUGUAGAAAACUCUAGGCUAGCUACAUUAUAUGUGCGGUGCAUACCUAGCCCGGACCACCUCAGAUUCAGCAGAGAAGUCCAACACAAGUGCAUAUGCAGACCGCUAGCCAGAGGACGCCGGGAUUGACCAUGACGGAUCAUGCAUACCCAGUCGUUUUAGACGACUAUCCAGACUUAUCACCAACAGAAGUGUACGCAUGCUACUCUACUUUCUGGCUUGAUAUUCAAAGGCUCUUCCCUCGUCUCGGAGGAGAGAAUUAUAACAACGUGUUGCUACUUGCUAGUGGUUGCCGUCUAAAUCAGUCUGAUUUAGACGGUUCCACAAAGAUGUUCAGACUUCAGCGUCGAUGGGGAGACAAUUUUUCAGUAUCUAGGAAGAAAAUUGAACCUGUUGGACCACUUUCUCUUCGAUUGCACACGUGGAUGGUGAUGUGUCUCUUGCUUGCGACUUAGCAAAAUUACUAAGUACUAUAAAUUUUAUGGAUUUACUUCUUAGUAAAUAAUCAUGGGCAGUUGUUUGCCACUGUCACGCGCACAUACAGCAGUACUACUUAGAUAGGAUAGCCACACCGGUACUAGUUGUUUAUCAGCCACAAAAUAUCGUAAUAUUUUCCUUGCCAGAGAGCUCAAGGCAUGGCUCCGAGGGAGCACAUCUUCUUCCUCCUCUAUGCCAUCCCACUCCUCGUUCUUCCCUGUGCUGCAUCCACAACCAGCAACGACAGUUUCAGUUUUCUAUACAACGGCUUCUCCGGUGUCAACCUCACCCUCGACGGCAGCGCCAAGGUGACGCCGGAGGGGCUCCUCGAGCUCACCAACGACACCAUCAACCUCGGCCACGCCUUGUACCCGACCCCGCUGAGCCUGCGCGGGUCGCCCAACGGCACGGUGCGGUCCUUCUCCCUCAGCUUCGCCUUCGCCAUCCUCUCCGUCCACGACGGCAUAAGCGCCGACGGCAUGGCCUUCUUUGUCGCCCCCACCAAGAACCUCUCCAACACGUGGGCGCAGUACAUGGGCCUCCUCAACAGCGGCAACAAUGGCAACGCCAGCAACCACAUGUUCGCCGUCGAGCUCGACACCACCCAGAACAAGGAGUUCCAGGACAUGGACAACAACCACGUUGGCAUCGACAUCAACAGCCUCAACUCCUUGCAGGCCUACCGCACUGGGUACUACGAUGAUGAGAGUAGAGCCUUCAACAACUUGACUCUUAUCAGCGGCAAGGCGAUGCAGGUAUGGGCUGACUAUGAUGGGGUGUCCACGCAGAUCAACGUGUUCUUGGCUCCUCUGGGAGUAGCUAAGCCGGUGAGGCCGCUGCUUUCAUCUCCCUACAACCUCUCCACAGUUCUGAGAGAACCAUCGUACAUCGGCUUCGCAGCCACUACCGGCGCAAUCAGCACGAUCCACUGCGUUCUCGGCUGGAGCUUCGCCGUAAACGGCCCUGCUCCAGCCAUCGACACAUCUAAGCUCCCAAAGCUACCACGUCUUGGCCCAGAGCCUCGCUCCAAGGUCCUGGAGAUCACCCUGCCUAUUGCCACGGCCACGUUCGUCCUUGUAGUAGGAACUGUCAUCAUUUUGUUUCUUCGCAAGAGAUUCAGGUACAGGGAGCUGCGGGAAGAUUGGGAGGUCGAUUUCGGGCCACACCGCUUCUCCUUCAAGGACCUGUUCCAUGCCACGGAAGGGUUCAAGGAAAAGAAUCUGCUUGGUGUGGGCGGGUUCGGCAAGGUAUACAAAGGGACACUCCCAAAGUCCAAACUGAAAGUGGCGGUGAAGAGAGUGUCUCACGAGUCGAGGCAAGGGAUGAAGGAGUUCAUCGCGGAGGUUGUCAGUAUCGGCCGGCUCAGACACCGCAACCUUGUGCCCCUGCUUGGCUAUUGCCGAAGGAAAGGUGAACUUCUUUUGGUUUAUGACUACAUGUCAAAUGGAAGCCUCAAUCAGUAUUUAUACUUUAAAGAUGGCAAGCCAUCACUGAAUUGGGAGGAGAGGUUACAUAUUAUCAAGGGUGUCGCGUUCGGAUUGUUUUACCUUCACGAGAAGUGGGAGAAAGUUGUCAUACACCGAGACGUCAAGCCGAGCAACGUGCUUCUGGACAGUGAAAUGAAUGCAAGACUAGGUGACUUUGGUCUCUCAAGGUUGUACGAUCAUGGCACUGAUCCACAAACCACACAUAUGGUUGGAACCAUGGGAUACCUGGCGCCUGAGUUCGUACGGACGGGCAAGGCAUCCCCUCUGACGGACGUGUUUGCAUUCGGCAUAUUUCUCCUUGAGGUUACUUCUGGGCAGAGGCCUAUCAAGCAGAACCCAUUUGGCAACAAACAUACAUUGGUCGACUGGGUUAUAGAGCGUUGGCACAACGGAUCGCUCAUGGAUACCGUGGAUCAGAGACUGCGGGGUGACUACAACAUCGAUGAUGCAUCAUUGGUGCUGAAGCUAGGGCUUCUGUGCUCGCACCCUUUUACUAGCGCAAGGCCCACAAUGCGGCAAGUCAUGCAGUAUCUCGAAGGUGAUACACCACUCCCAGAGCUAACACCAGCACACUUCAGCUUCACUAUGCAGGCCUUGACGCAAAACAGAGGAUUGGAAUCACCAAACUUGCAAUACCCUCAGUUAUCGACGAGUUUUGCCACUUUUUCCGACCUUUCAGGAGGAAGAUAACAUAUACAUAUACGGUGUUCAGUGUUAUCGUGUCUCUCUUAGAUGUUAAAACAUCUACUUUCUUGUGCAUUUCGUCUGGAUAGAUACUAUAUUUUAAUGUAUUCAAACACUAGCUAGGGAGCAUAUCAAACAUUUACUUCACUUCAGAUGUUACUCUGGUUGUCUAUGCUCAGUUUAAUUACUCACGGGGUUAAUGAAUCAAUCUUCUGUAUGUUCUACAUGGUUCCAGUCUGAAACUACUUGGUGUAUGUAAGCACCUAGCAUGUACAUGUGAACUCAUGAAUUUUACAGAAGUUUCUGUCUGUGCUUGUUUGGAAUUCCUUUGAGAAACAAUGAGAGUUCACUAACUGAAUGGAUUACAUCGUCUCGUGAGUUGUCUGAAACAUCAUGGCCUUUGGGUCAGUUUGAGUGAUAUAUACAGGUGUCAGUCGUGGAGCUUGAAAGAAAUCUUAGGAGGGACGAAGCUGUAACUUUUUAGGACUACCCCAAAUCGUCCGGGUUAAAUCAAUUGUACUUGAAGUGUCGAUCUUGCGUACCAUAAACUUUGCAAUUCCACAAAAGGGUCAGCAUAAGGACUGCUUAUUCGAACCACAAAAGGGUCCGCUGUGUGGUAUCCCUGAAGAUUCGAACCACAUCUUCUUCUCCUGUGUGUCCGUUUAAUUCGUGUGGAGCUGCUUUAGAGAGGUAGUGGGAGGUGAUUGGUGCCACACCAACUUUCCCGACCUUUUUGCCGAACUUUAGAACUUCCCCCUGCCCUCUUGCCACAUUAGGUGGCUUGAGAUUGGGGCACUCGCCUGGACCCUCUGGACGAUUCGCAAUAAGCUUGUGAUUCAGCGCAUCCUUCUUCGACGGGCUACUGACGCUCUUUUCAAACUGUCUGGUUUCUUGCAGCUUUGGCGGUCGCUUAGCGGCCUUCGGGACCGGGACGCCAUCUCCGCCUUCAUCGCCGACCUUCGCUCGAUGGCCUUUCGUCUGUCGCCGCCGCCGCCCCCUCCGCCUCCUCCGGAGCCAGAUUAGGCGCCGGACCUGUUCUCCGGCUUCGGCCUUUCUUUUCUUUGUUGUUUUUUGGGCUUGUUGAGCUGUGCCCUCAGCGGAACCUUUGUACCUCUUGUUGUGUAUCUUGGGUGUGUGUGUUCCGGACUAGUCCGUGUAUGUGUGCUUUUGACGGUUUGCUUUAUUUAUAAAGCGGGGCGAAAGCCUUUUUCGGUAAGGACUGCUUUAAAUCUGCUCGCCACAGAUCAUCACUUUGAUUAGGUGGAUAAUUGCCAAAUAUGUGGACAUAAUGCUGGAUCCCGUUCCAAGAAUUUAAUCCCUCGGAACAAGACUUCGAUUGUUCGAGUUUGAUUUGUUAUUUAUGACUUUGAUGUUCAAACUAGAGUAGCAAGAGAGGAGGCCGAGCAUUCAGUAGCUUCACAUUCACCUCUAUUUCUUUUGUAUAAAAUGAAUCGACAGUAUAUUAGCAUUCCCCUAAACCAUGGCUAGAUUCGGUCCUUUAUAAACAACAAAUGUAUCUAGUGCAAAACAUCUGACCUAGUUAGAAUCCCCCACUAAUUAAGAUGCAGCGGAAAACUAGGAAUCGAACUGGAUAAAAUUACCGAAUGGGGAGGGAGAGUAGACUGAUCUUGCUGCUCACUGGCUCACCGCGCGUAGAGCCGGCGUCGCCCUGAUGCGGAGCGCGGCCGCGACGAGGCGUCGAGGCCUCUGGCCAUCUGACGGGCUGGAGAACGCACGCCCGCCGCCCCCCGCGCCCGAACGCAUCUGCCCCGGCC